rnacentral:lncRNA from 10 species
ACGCCCGCGCUGCUCAGCGCUACCGCUUCCCCGCAACUGUGCGGAGUGGGAGCCGGUGCCCGGUCCGACCGGCUUGGGCGGCGCGCCUUCACCCGGCGCCAGGUCCGGACCCCUCCCUAGUAGCUUCGCGGCCUCCCUGCCUCCUGUGCGCGGCCUGGCUCGGAGAGGUCGGGCGGGCAGGCUUUCCCGACUGCAGGCGAGGCAGUGCGCGGCUCACCCCAGUCCCCGACCCACGUGAAGCGUACAGGGCAUUUUAUUAACCGGGAAGGACGGUGCGGAAGAGCGAGCAGGACGCCUCUUCACCCCGCGUAGGACUCGGGCGUCUCGGGUGCCUGGCACACCACGCAGCGCCGGCACAGCCAGCGGCGCAGGAGCGGGCAGCCGCGGUGCAGGAUAUCCGCCAGCGGGUGGCGCUGUUGGGAGGUGAGAAAACUGAUGCUUGGAGAUGUGAUCACUGCCCAGGGUCACCCAAUGAUAACAUGCAUGCAUAUGGAACUUGCUGCAUGCCAGCACCAUGAGUCCGCUCCCCAUGCUGUCCUCACCACAUUGCUCAUUUCUGAGGCCUGGAUGGUGGGCUUGCAAGGGAAGAUGACGGUUUUCUCCUCAGCUUUGCGGAGUGGCAGCAGAGUCCGUUUGCCCUGGAAAACAAAUGUCCACACAGUUAGGAAGCCCAAGGGCCCUCUGCCCUUUCCUCUCUGCCUUCCUGGAGCAUGAACCCACACAGGGCACACAGCAGCAAGGCAUCCCCGGGCAGUGCCGUGCCCACUCACCAGCUUCUUCCUGCGGUCAUCGAUCUGGCAGAAGUUCUCCUCAUCUAUCCCCAAACAUGGGCUUCCUUGAGGCACAGUCAUUCAACCAACCAGCCAGCAUUCAUUGAGCACCAUCUAUGUCCUGGGCACUGCUAGGGGAUGGUGAUAACAGGGAGAAGACUCUGUCCCUGCCUUCCAAUUGUGUAGAGGAAGACAUCCCCCUACAUGAUGGGUGAGACAUAGCAGAAGUGAGUAGGGGAUGAGGUGGGGGCUCAGAGGAGGGCAUGGUCAGCCUGUCUGGGAGGGAGUUGCAUGUGUGCAUCUGAGGUAGGGACAGGCAUGCAUCUUACAGGAUGAAUAUCGAGCAGAGUUACAGAGAGGGGGAAACUCCUUGAGGUUUCAGGAAUCACCUAAUCCACUGUGACUCACAAAUUCCUGCCUCUUGGCUUUGCCUGCAGCAUAUCUCCUGGAAGUGUGCUGGGGCAAAACUCAUCCCAGACCACCAUCUCCAUCCUCCCCCAAUACACCCUGGCUCUCCCUGGCUACCCUUGAGCACGGUGCACGUGUGCAUGGGUGCAUGCCUGCAUAUAUAGCUAUCCCCCAUGUAUUUCCCAAAGCCCUACAUAAUGCUUCAGUUUGCUAAGGAAAAAAUGUUAAUUACUGCAAAUGUGUUUAAAACUGUAAAAGUACAUUAAACAAACUCUGUAAAGUGUGAAA